CUGCUAUGAUGAAUUAAGCGUUGACUGUGAUCUGGGUCGAUCACAACCGUCCGAUGAUUCUGACGAAGUUAUCAGCGCAUCUGAGCUU